GAUGAAUGCUGGCGGCGCGCCUAACACAUGCAAGUCGAGCGGAAAGGCCCUUCGGGGUACUCGAGCGGCGGACGGCUGAGUAACGCGUGGGAACAUGCCCCAAAGUGAGGGAUAACUGCCCGAAAGGGUAGCUAAUACCGCAUAUGAUCUUCGGAUUAAAGGAUUUAUCCGCUUUGGGAGUGGCCCGCGUACGAUUAGGUAGUUGGUGAGGCAAAGGCUCACCAAGCCUACGGUCGUUAACUGGCCUGAGAGGAUGAUCAGUCAGACUGGAACUGAGACACGGUCCAGACUCCUACGGGAGGCAGCAGUGAGGAAUCUUCCACAAUGGGCGAAAGCCUGAUGGAGCGACGCCGCGUGCAGGAUGAAGGCCUUCGGGUUGUAAACUGCUUUUAUAAGUGAAGAAUAUGACGGUAACUUAUGAAUAAGCACCGGCUAACUACGUGCCAGCCGCCGCGGUA
rnacentral:rRNA from 1 species